UGCAAGUGAUGUUUUCCUCACGGUGGUCUUCCAUGGACAGGGCGUUGACGAAACGUCCGCUAGUCAACUCUGCUGCAAGUGA